rnacentral:rRNA from 1 species
CGCCAGUCUGCAUGGAGCCGGCCUUGAAAUACCACCCUUUAAUGUUUGAUGUUCUAACGUGGACCCGUAAUCCGGGUUGCGGACAGUGUCUGGUGGGUAGUUUGACUGGGGCGGUCUCCUCCUAAAGAGUAACGGAGGAGCACGAAGGUUGGCUAAUCCUGGUCGGACAUCAGGAGGUUAGUGCAAUGGCAUAAGCCAGCUUGACUGCGAGCGUGACGGCGCGAGCAGGUGCGAAAGCAGGUCAUAGUGAUCCGGUGGUUCUGAAUGGAAGGGCCAUCGCUCAACGGAUAAAAGGUACUCCGGGGAUAACAGGCUGAUACCGCCCAAGAGUUCAUAUCGACGGCGGUGUUUGGCACCUCGAUGUCGGCUCAUCACAUCCUGGGGCUGAAGUAGGUCCCAAGGGUAUGGCUGUUCGCCAUUUAAAGUGGUACGCGAGCUGGGUUUAGAACGUCGUGAGACAGUUCGGUCCCUAUCUGCCGUGGGCGCUGGAGAAUUGAGGGGGGCUGCUCCUAGUACGAGAGGACCGGAGUGGACGCAUCACUGGUGUUCGGGUUGUCAUGCCAAUGGCACUGCCCGGUAGCUAAAUGCGGAAGAGAUAAGUGCUGAAAGCAUCUAAGCACGAAACUUGCCCCGAGAUGAGUUCUCCCUGACCCUUUAAGGGUCCUGAAGGAACGUUGAAGACGACGACGUUGAUAGGCCGGGUGUGUAAGCGCAGCGAUGCGUUGAGCUAACCGGUACUAAUGAACCGUGAGGCUUAACCUUACAACGCCGAAGGUGUUU